AAUUCUAAUACUUAAAUAUAAUUUCUACAUAUUUCCCUUCAAUCCUACGAGCAAAGCAUUAUUUUAUUUCAAACACCUGGAUGUCAGUUUAAAAUCAGUCAAAUGUAGCGGCUGUAGGCAUUACCAAAUAUGGAGUUCGCUCGUUUUCCCAACCGUCCUCCCUUCGAUUCUUAGUAGCUCUCUAUUUUAUUUUCUAUAAAUUAUUGAGUUAUUUUCAAAUGAUUCAAUUUUAUUCUCUUGUGUAAUUAAUAUAAUUUCCUCUUAUAAAUAAAAAUGUCAUUUAGAGUGGUUCGUAGUUCAAAAUUCCGCCACGUUUACGGGCAAGCCCUGAAAAGGGAGCAGUGUUAUGAUAAUAUAAGAGUAUCGAAAAGUUCUUGGGACUCUACGUUUUGUGCCGUGAACCCCAAAUUC
rnacentral:misc_RNA from 1 species